rnacentral:lncRNA from 1 species
AUAAUUACCUUAAGUCUUAUCUUAAUUGAAUCCACCUCUUCAUCUCCUUACGCGUCUCCAUCUCUUCAUCUCUUUAUUUUAUUUAUUAAUUUAUUUUUUUCCUUCAUACGCAUUCGCGUCCCCUGGCCCUCUCCUUCUCCUUGUCUUCCACAUCCGCCCGUUCGCACUGCUGCGGUCCCCCCAUCCCCUCCCUCGCUCAUGCGCCCUCCUCACCUCCCUCCGCCACCACCCCCUUCGCCUCUCCGCCCUUCGAUGCCCUCGCGGGCUUCUUCCGCGACCACCUCUACAGCCGCAGCAGCAACC